GUCGAGAAUUUUGGGCAAUGGACGAAAGUCUGACCCAGCAAUGCCGCGUGCGGGAUGAAGGUCUUCGGAUUGUAAACCGCUGUCGAGGGGGACGAAAAAUGACGGUACCCCUGGAGGAAGCCACGGCUAACUACGUGCCAGCAGCCGCGGUAAUACGUAGGUGGCGAGCGUUGUUCGGAUUUAUUGGGCGUAAAGGGUCCGCAGGGGGUUGAUUAAGUCUGAAGUGAAAUCUCUGAGCUCAACUCAGAAAUUGCGUUGGAGACUGGUUGACUAGAGUGUUGGAGAGGUAAGUGGAAUUCCAGGUGUAGCGGUGGAAUGCGUAGAUAUCUGGAAGAACAUCGAAAGCGAAGGCAGAUUACUGGACAACAACUGACCCUCAGGGACGAAAGCAUGGGGAGCAAACAGGAUUAGAAACCCCGGUAGUCC
rnacentral:rRNA from 1 species